rnacentral:rRNA from 1 species
UACGGAGGAUCCGAGCGUUAUCCGGAUUUAUUGGGUUUAAAGGGUGCGCAGGCGGGAAAUUAAGUCGGCGGUGAAAUCCUGCGGCUCAACCGUAGAACUGCCAUUGAAACUGAUAAGCUUGAAUACAAUUGAAGUAAGCGGAAUGAGUAGUGUAGCGGUGAAAUGCAUAGAUAUUACUCAGAACACCAAUUGCGAAGGCAGCUUACUAAACUGAUAUUGACGCUGAGGCACGAAAGCGUGGGGAGCGAACAGGAUUAGAUACCCG